GAUGAACGCUAGCUACAGGCUUAACACAUGCAAGUCGAGGGGCAGCAUGGUCUUAGCUUGCUAAGGCCGAUGGCGACCGGCGCACGGGUGAGUAACACGUAUCCAACCUGCCGUCUACUCUUGGACAGCCUUCUGAAAGGAAGAUUAAUACAAGAUGGCAUCAUGAGUUCACAUGUUCACAUGAUUAAGGGUAUUCCGGUAGACGAUGGGGAUGCGUUCCAUUAGAUAGUAGGCGGGGUAACGGCCCACCUAGUCUUCGAUGGAUAGGGGUUCUGAGAGGAAGGUCCCCCACAUUGGAACUGAGACACGGUCCAAACUCCUACGGGAGGCAGCAGUGAGGAAUAUUGGUCAAUGGGCGCAGGCCUGAACCAGCCAAGUAGCGUGAAGGAUGACUGCCCUAUGGGUUGUAAACUUCUUUUAUAAAGGAAUAAAGUCGGGUAUG
rnacentral:rRNA from 1 species